CUCCGCUCCAUCGCAUGGUGGGGUGGGAAAUGCUUUUGCGGCAUGGGAUGGGGUCGCGUCCUAUCAGCUUGUUGGCGGGGUGAUGGCCCACCAAGGCGUUGACGGGUAGCCGGCCUGAGAGGGUGACCGGCCACAUUGGGACUGAGAUACGGCCCAGACUCCUACGGGAGGCAGCAGUGGGGAAUAUUGCACAAUGGGCGCAAGCCUGAUGCAGCGACGCCGCGUGCGGGAUGGAGGCCUUCGGGUUGUAAACCGCUUUUGUUCAAGGGCAAGGCACGGUUUCGGCCGUGUUGAGUGGAUUGUUCGAAUAAGCACCGGCUAACUACGUGCCAGCAGCCGCGGUAAUACGUAGGGUGCGAGCGUUAUCCGGAUUUAUUGGGCGUAAAGGGCUCGUAGGCGGUUCGUCGCGUCCGGUGUGAAAGUCCAUCGCCUAACGGUGGAUCUGCGCCGGGUACGGGCGG
rnacentral:rRNA from 1 species